rnacentral:lncRNA from 1 species
CUCCGCUCCUCAACGCCCGCCGGGUGCAAUCUGCUCUCUCCGGGAGACGAACGCGAAGCGACGUGGAAACCCUUCCACCAAAAUGAGCUGUGAUAUCCUUUUGAUGGCUAUAAUUUAUUCCAAAUCGUCCCUGGACUGAAACGAUCAAUUAGCAGCCCGAAACGCACUGUGAAGUAAAUUGUCACACUCUCUAUUACAGGAUGGUUAUCAUAUAUUUAUAAGGUGUGUUUUCUGCAAUCAGAACCAACAAGGUGUUGAGCGAUCAGUCAUAAACGCACUUCUUCAAAAAGAGAGGGAGAGAAGCUCAGCAUUGUGUGGCGGGGGAAUAAUCCUCAUGACAGUUCUCUCCCCACCCAGUGAUGUUUUGUCUUGGCACCUGGGAAGUGCAGUGAGGGCUGGAGCUCUGGACGGACUCUCUUCGCCACGCGUGCCCCUGGAAGCAGGGUCCCUGUGAACUACGGAGAGACCCCAGAGGAGAGAUUUCCUUAUUGUGUAAACACAAAUCAGUCGUAAGGGCCGCUCCCUCUGUCUUUCUCUGUCUUCUCUUGUAUCCACGAAAAUAAUAUCUUACUCUUUGCUUCUAAGCUUCUAAUAGAAUGUUUGCAUCCUACACUUAAUGAUAAGUAUUUUUUCUUCUUCCUCAGGUCUCAAGGUGUUGACCUCCUCUCUUGUUAUUUAAUUGAUGAUGUUCGGUAGAAAUUAUGUCUGGGUGAUAUGAAGUUUACCCACAGAGAGAACCCUGCUUUCUGAAUUGAAAUCCUCAGCAGAACUCUUCCAUCAUUCAUAAAUGAGAUAGCCCAAAGUUCUAAGAAAGUAAUAAGAAAGGGCGAUUUAGGCCAGGCGCCGAAAAAAAAAUACUGAUUCAGCCUGGUAGCUAUUUUGACUGGACCAGGCCAUGGAGACAUUGUUAUUUUCCUUCUCAGUGGUCAGGAAUAUACAUCUGGAACUUCUGAGUUUUUCCCCUUACAAACUUUCAUCAGAUAGUCAUCCAUGAACCACCUAUCAAUCAUUUUUUAGAAGGGUUCUAGUUUGCAUCCAAGUGAUAUUCCUUUUGCCUGAAAAACAUAGCUUUAGAGCCUAGACUACUGGUUAUUGAUUGUGAAAAAAAUUUAGCAGCUAGAAUUAUGCCUUUGUAGUAAUAAAGUGACAUUCAUGCAGAGUGAAUCACAAGGUGUGAAGGUAAGAUGCAGAAUUUAUACCACAUUCUUCUUAGGUUAAGUGCCCCCAUGACUUUUGCAUGGGAGGGCUUAUCUGCAAUGCCAACCCUUGAAGAAUGGGGAGAAAGGAAAUCUCGUUGGGUAUUUGAGCUGUGGAGGCAGCUGUUGCCAUUGGGCUUUCACCCCCAUCCUCACAGCAUAAAUGAAGUACCACAUUCCUCUGUCAGAAAGCAAUGGGGAUAGGGAACCUUGCUUCAUCUGAGGACUGGCAUAGCAAAGAGCCAGACCCAGCACCUUCACCUUGUGCCUUCCAAUAUUAUUGAUUUAAUUUGCAUUUAACAGCUAAUAUUUAUUGAACAUUUACUCCAUGCCAGGCACUGAGCUUUAAACUACAGAUGCACCUCAAUUUAUGAUGGGAUUGUCCUGAUAAACCUAUUGUAGUUUAAAAAUAUGUUAAGUUGAAAGUACAUUUUUGACUUACAAUAUUUUCAAUUUAUGAUGGGUUUAUUUGAACAUAACCCCAUCAUAAAUGAAGGAACUUUUGUACCAUCGUAAAGUUGUAAAGUAGAGAAAUGCUAAGUCAAACCAUUCUAAGUUGGGGACCAUCUGUAUGUGUAUUAUCUUAUUUAAUUAUUUCAACAAUCUUAUUGGAGAAGGUUCUUUAUUUUGCCAAAGAGAAAACUGAGACCUGGAAAGAUUAAGUAAUUUAUGCAAGACCACCCUCCUAGUAAGUGAUGACUUCAAAUCCAAGUCAGUCUCCAAUACCCACACUCUUCAUCCCAAUAAUAUAAUACUUCAGAAAUUUGAGAUUUUGAUUUAAGAUUUUUUUCCACCAAAAAGAUUUUAGUGGAGCUGAUGAUACAAUGAGAGUGGUAAAUUCUGGGAGACGAUUGAAAGAACAGCUGUUUGCAAUAGAAAGCCACAUUGGGUACUUACACAGCCCCUCCCCACCUUGGUAGAUUACCUCUUCUUUGUUCUAUCCUUCCUACCCUUCGUGAUUUCUUUUUCAGAGUUACACCUGCCAUCUAGCAAAACAGACCUCACCCAAGGUCAAUGAUGGCUGCUAACCUUGGGGUUGAUGGGGGAAGGUGGAUGCAGCAGACCCCAGGGAAAACAGAGCACCGUGAGGAGGAGCCAGAGGAGGCCGGAGGCCCUUGUCUCAGACAUCCAGCUCUGAGAGUGAAAUGUUGCUUCCUAAUGGACUUUAAAUUACCAACAUCGCUAAACUCUCUCUUAAUAGACUUGUAAAGAUUUGCUUGCUACCUUUUUCCUCCUUCAUGUAGAAUUUGUAAUCAAGAGCCCAAUUUUGUCAUUUGGAAAUACUAAUUAUCUAAUCACGGCAUGCUGUAUAACGUACUUGUCUGCCCAAUUAGCUAGGACAAUUAUUAAAAUUCAGAGGCCUAAUUAUGUCUCAAUUUAAUGCUGGCAAACUUGCAUACAGAGCAGUAAUUAAAAUCCUCUCUUUCCCUCUGCCUUUAGGGCAGGGGAUGAUUAGGCCCUGUCAGGGGGUGUACUGAACCAAACCAGUGAAGCGUAUUGUGCAACAUGACCCUGCAUUGUUAAGUGUGUCAACAUAUUAACCUGAAUUCCCUUCAGCCCCCACAUAAUCACAUUUGGUGGAAGAAUGAAGGAGCUAAAACAUGAAGCAUUUUUUUAAAAAAACAUAAAUUCAUUUUAAUUAAUGCUGUGAGAGUUCUGGUGAAUUUCACGUUUCCAAGUGCUGGAAGACGUAAGACUGGUUCAUCUAAUUACUAGCAAAUUUGUUCUUGUAAAAACUACUUUUUUUACUCAUUUAAAUAAAAUAAUUUUUGGGGGUAGCAUUAAAAAAAAAAAGCCCUAGUUAGCUUCCAGUAAUACAGUUGAUUACCAGCUUUGAUGAUGGAACACAAGUGAAUGUUGACUUCCAAAAGAUUCAAACCCAAGACUGGAGGCAUUGAGGGGAAAAAAUACUACAAUUUAAUACUUGAAAGAUGUUAAUAAAAGUCGAACAUUACAAAUCAUAAUAUUGAAAUAAAUUCAAAAUAUUUAUCUUUUGAGCUCUUAAGUUUGAUGUCUGAAAUUGAACCAGGGUGAGAAGACCAGAGCAUUGCACAAAUUCAUGAUGCUUUGCAAGCUCCAGAUGGUGUGUGUCCACCUUGCCAGCAUCUAAACCACCUUCUCUAUGGAGUAAGGAGAGCCACAAAACCCAUUAAGACUCCUGAGCUGUCCUCUAAGUUCUGGCUUUCACUCAUGAUGGUCUUUAGAGAUUAUUCAUAUAUUCAGCUAAGGAAGGACAACAUUUAGUCUAGACCAAAAAUGAAUUAUUCUGGAGCAGAACUUCUUUCAAUUGCUUCCCAACUUCUUGCUGUAUGGAUAGCUUCCACAGAGUAAGAGACACACAAAUACACACUCAUGCACACUCGCACAGUCCCUUACUUGGACAGAGCUUACUCUCAUCUCAAUUGAUCUCUUUUUCUUUUAUUUUUUUAGAUGGAGUUUUGCUCUAGUUGCCCAGGCUGGAGUGCAGUGGUGUGAUCUCGGCUCACUGCAACCUCCACCUCCUGGAUUCAGGUGAUUCUCCUGCCUCAGCCUCCCAAGUAGCUGGGAUUACAGGUGCCCACCGCCACACCCGGCUAAUUUUUUAUAUUUUUUGUAGAGACCCCGUUUCACCAUGUUGGCCAAGCUGGUCUCAACCUCCUGACCUCAGGUGAUCUGCCUGCCUGGGCCCCACAAAGUGCUGGGAUUACAGGUGUGAGCCACCACGCCCUGCCAAUUGAUCUCAUUUUUAAUCUCAUGAUCACCUUGUAACACAUGUAAGGCAAGCAUGUCUCCAUGUUAAUAUGGGGCAGUUAAUAUACUUGCCCGAGCUCACCACUCCAUACUCUUACUUCUUGGUUGUAGGCAGGGUAAGACUAGACUCCGUUCCCCUUGCUGCCCACUGCAUCAGACAGUUAGCUGUGGAUCAGUCACCAAUCAGGGAGGCUUAGUUUGGUUAAAUAUGUCAUGUUGAGAUCGAAGUAUAGAUAAUGUUAUAAACAAUGAGACAACAAGGGGACAGCCUAUGUACCAACACCAGAGGACCUCCUGUCCUCAGUCAAUACUUACUUGCAACAUGUUUAGCCAUAUUUGUUUAGAUUUGAUGCCUCUGGCCCAUUUUCUUCCUCUUUAAGCUUUUAUAUUUCUCAAGUUUUAUAUAGUUUCAUCUGGGCCAGUGAUAGUAAAAUUUGGGUUCCUUCCUCCUAAUCUUGCUGUGGUACAAUGUGGUGUGUUUAGGGACAAUUCUGGCUGGUAUAUGCUCUCUUACUAACAAAGGCAGUGACUACAGCUAUCUCUAUAAGAGAUGGUUGGCUGGAGCCAGGACAGGCCCUUAGGCACUUGUGCUACAAAACCCGGGGGUGGUAGUCCUCCCUCCACACCCGCCACUACCCCCCACCCCCACCUCCCAGGGAGUAUGCCCUGUGUCUUGAAAAUGGCCUUGCUCUGAGCCUCUUUGGAUGGCAAACUGAAGUGCAAAUCUGUGUUCUGACUUGUUCCCGUGGCUGUCAGCAUGUUUUCCUCUUGUCAGCAGCAAUUGACUGGUCAGGCUCACCCCUGUACAGCAAUUGUAACAGCUCAUUGACAGACUAGUGACCCAGCUGGACCUGAUAAUGGAAAACUAUUGAUUUUUGUGGGCUCCACGAAUCUAAAAUGAACGACCGAUGUAAUGUCAUCAAUUGUCUCGGACUCUGAUAACCCAGGGGGAAAAAGUUUCAGGGAUUGCUUGUAUUUCCUGACAAUAGUGUUCCAAAAUCUCACUGAGCAUAUGUAAGAAGAAGCCCAUUUCUUAGAUGGGCUUUAAAUGACCCCGAUUAGUCCAUCAGGGUUUCAACGCCGAGGCUUGCAUGUUAAAUGAAGUGGAAAUUAGGAUUAUCAAUUAGCAGAACUGAGACAUAACGUACAAUUUAGGAAAGAUAUUUGUGGAGAAGCACUUUGAGAGGAAAAUGUUUAAAAUGUUUAUUAUAAAACAAGCUCACAGGAAAAAAAAAAGAAGAAGCUGGGAGGAAACCAAAAUAUAUAGGCUCUCCAAGAGCCUUGAUGUAUGAAAUUGUGAUAGAACUAUGAGGCUGCUUUGGCUUGCCUGUGUUGAUUUAUUGGUAGUAGAAAGAAAGGCUUGAAAAUAAUGUAGAGAUGCCUUAAACAUGUGUUGCAGGAAAUAGCUAUUUAGUUUUGUUUUUUAAACAAUUUUCUCCUUACUUGAUCAUUUAAAAAUCCUCAAACAUUGCUUAGUGUGUUUUUUAGAAACAACAGCAUUUUUUUCUUGAGCCAAAUUAGCAAUGGGUUGGAGCUAAUUUUGCCCAGUGGACAGGUCUAGAAAAUUCUGUACUCUAUGCUGAAUUCUGAUAGAUAGGAUUUCCCUUAAUGGCCUCUGCCAAAGGGAACUUGAUUAAAAAAAAAAAAAAAAAAAGGCAAGGCUAUUGAUCUUGGCUGCCAAACUGAUACAUUUAGUUCACAAUCCACUUGUAGUGAGGACAUAAUCAUCUUAUGGUCCUGAUCAAAUUCAGACAUUCUUAGAACACAGUUCUGAAGGCUAGACAAAUCAGAGAACACAGAAAUAACAGGGGUGCUUCCCCAUCCAUUUUAUUUGCUCAAAGAGGGCUAGAAAUCUCAGUAAGGGUCCAGAAAGAACAGGCCCCAGAGGAGAUGAAUCUAUGUGUGGCUGGACUCCUGUUCACAGGAUGCUGCCAUCUUCACACUCUCCUGUCAUGGUCCUUCUCUGGCCUUUGAUUAGCAUCGCCCCUUACAACACUACACCUCUGGUUUUCUAGCACUAUCAAAACCAGCUUUGCCAAUUGUUUGGCUGGCUACCUAUUAGUAAAGACACACAAGGUUGAGGUUGAGACCUGAAAGAAAAUUAGGCUAGGCAAAAAAAAUUGGUAUUUGGACUUUAAUAAAUAAAAAAGGCUUGAUGCAGAGAACACAAAAUUUGCCUGAUGCUGUGUGAUGUGUCUUAUGGCCCAGCCAAGGCAUCAACAGGUCAAAGGUCAGGAGUGAGGUCUUAUAUGUUUUGGAAUUCUCUACAGUGGUUUUCAUCAGGCCUUGCAUGUCACAAAUAUAUAAAUAAUCAUUGAAUAAAGGAGCAAAAAGGCUAUUUUUAAGUAUAGAAAGAUGAAGGUAACAUUUUCCAGUGUAUAAUAGAUUUGGGAGAAAAUAUUUGCAAUCAGGGUUUUCCAUGUGCAGGCUCAUGCCAGUCCAUGAAGGAGUUCACCUGUCUGUGGUAAAUAUAAAUAAAUGAACAAAGGGAAGUUAACAGGAUUUUAUAAAGCAAAAUUUAAUCUUUUUAAAAGUCCGAGAUUGGCUGAGCACGGUGGCUCAUGCCUGUAAUCCCAGCACUUUGGGAGGCCGAGGCGGGCAGGUCACCUGAGGUCAUAAGUUGAAAACCAGCCUGGCCAACAUGGUGAAACCCUGUCUCUACUAAAAAUACAAAAAUUAGCCGGCCGUGGUGGCAUGUGCCUGUAAUCCCAGCUACUCAGGAGGCUGAGGCCGGAGAAUCACUUGAAUCCGGGAGGCGGAGGUUGCAGUGAGCCAAAAUCGUGCCACUGUACUCCAGCUUGGGUGACAAGAGCAAAACUCUGUCUCAAAAAAAAAAAAAAAAUUCCAAGAUUAUAGUCUUUUGAGAUGUUAAACAUUUUCUUUUAUAAAUAAUGAUUAUAAUAAAUUAAUAGCUUUACUUGGCAAGGCAAGAUUAAAAGUUGGCAAAAAUCAUACACUGGUCCAAUACCUUAAAAAUUACUUUUCUGUAGAAGCCAAAGAAUGGGUGCACUAAUCUAAAUACCUAUUGUGCCUCUUAUUAAUAUUAAGGCAAUCCCAUAUGACUGUCAACAAAUAGAAAUAUUCAUGAUUAAGGCACAGCAUUAGAUGUGAUAGGUGUAACAGCACUGGCCUAAGGUCUAGUCAUUUGGAGCUUCUUUUAGGUUUUUGGUCUGUAUUCUAUCUUUACAAAUUAUUAAAUUAUUAAAAAAUUUUAAUUUUUAAACCCAAAUCUGUGAUUUGAUUGAAAUGCUGAAAGAUGCGAUAUUAGUCACCAUACUUUUAACUUCAAGAUACUCUUUUCUGAUAACACAAUUCCUAUCUUCUGCCCUAUGCAAUGUCAGGUCUGUUCCCAGCAGCAGUUCCACAGUAAUGAUGCCACUUGGAAGAGAAAACAAUUUUGUUUCUUUGGGUUUUAAUUUGAUGUGUAAAGUCAAAAUUUUAACUCAGAGUAUGUGUUUUGCUGUGCUUUGUAACUUGCACUAAAGAUUUAAAUGUAUUAAACACAUUCCUUGCAAUAACUAAUCAUAAAAUUACAGUAUUUAUUAAUAGAAGAUUAAUAACUCUGGACCCAGUUUCACCUCCACAUUUAACAUCUUCCUCUUGUAUCUUUUGGAAUGCUUUCAGCUGCAGGUAAAAGAGGAAUGCUUUGUGUUACUUCACAAAGCAGGUCAGAGAUCUUGUGGUUCUAGGAUUGAUUGAUGCAGUAUCUCAGCAACAUAAUCGAGGACCCAGGUUUUUUCCAUAUUUUUCACUGGCUAUCUCAGCAUGUUCACUUGUCCUGUUAUACUCUCUUCCAUCAUGGAGAGCAAUAUGACCACACAGUUCCUGGUGUUCAAUGUAGAUAGUAAUACUUAGCAGCAGGAAAAGGGGACAUUCCUCUGUUGUGUCCCUUUUUAAGACUUAAGGAACACUUCCCCAAAAGCCCAUUUUCUCACUUUCCCUCAAGCUUCAUCCAGAGUUGUGUUAUCAGCCUGUUUGUAAACCGUUUGCUG